AGAGUUUGAUCAUGGCUCAGAACGAACGUUGUCGGCGUGGAUUAGGCAUGCAAGUCGAACGAGAACCAGGCUUGUAGCAAUACAAGCUUGGGGAAAGUGGCGAAAGGGGCAGUAAUGCGUGGGUAACCUACCCCGGGGACUGGGAUAGCCAUCCUAACGGAUGGGUAAUACCGGGCGACCUGGCUGAGGCGCAUGUUUCGGUCAGCAAAUGAGUUUCGCCCUGGGAGGGGCUCACGUGGUAUUAGCUUGUUGGUGGGGUAACGGCCUACCAAGGCGAAGAUGCCUAGCGGGUGUGAGAGCACGACCCGCGCCACUGGCACUGAGACACUGGCCAGACUCCUACGGGAGGCUGCAGUCGAGGAUCUUCGGCAAUGGGCGCAAGCCUGACCGAGCGACGCCGAGUGCGCGAUGAAGGCCUUCGGGUUGUAAAGCGCUGUCGAGGGGGAGGAAAGCCCGCAAGGGUCUGACCUAUCCCUGGAGGAAGCACGGGCUAAGUUCGUGCCAGCAGCCGCGGUAAGACGAACCGUGCCAACGUUGUUCGGAAUCACUGGGCUUAAAGGGCGCGUAGGCGGUCGAUCACGUCCGGGGUGAAAGCUUUCGGCUCAACCGGAAAAGUGCCUUGGAUACGGAUCGACUUGAGGGAGGUAGGGGCAGGUGGAACUUCCAGUGGAGCGGUGAAAUGCGUUGAUAUUGGAAGGAACGCCGGUGGCGAAAGCGACCUGCUGGAUCUCUUCUGACGCUGAGGCGCGAAAGCUAGGGGAGCAAACGGGAUUAGAUACCCUAGUAGUCC
rnacentral:rRNA from 1 species